rnacentral:lncRNA from 1 species
CUCCCAGCAGCAUUUUUUAGAAGGUACCAAAUAAGAAAAAUGUGGAUGAAGAUGGAGAAAGCAUACAAAACUUUUACACACUGGUUUGAAGCUGUCACCGCGCGGAACAUAAAGAACAGGCCAAGAGCAGUGCAGGCAUCGACGACUUUCUCCAUUCAGAGCCUCCGCGCAUCCCAAAUAAAUAAACACAUCAAAAC